rnacentral:tRNA from 1 species
UACACUUUAGUAUAAGAGGUAUUGGAGCUUUUGGUGCUUUAGGAGUUAGUUAGAUUCUAACAAGUGUAG